AGCGAACGCUGGCGGUAUGCUUAACACAUGCAAGUCGAGCGCGAAAGUGACUUCGGUCAUAAGUAGAGCGGCGGACGGGUGAGUAACACGUGGAUAAUCUGCCUUUAGGACUGGGAUAACCCUGGGAAACUAGGGCUAAUACCGGAUAAGACCACAGGUUCCAUGGAACCAGGGGUAAAAGGCGGCCUUCGGGCUGUCGCCGAAAGAUGAGUCCGCGUCCCAUCAGGUAGUUGGUGAGGAACGGCUCACCAAGCCGAAGACGGGUAGCCGACCUUAGCGGGUGAUCGGCCACACGGGGACUGAGACAC
rnacentral:rRNA from 1 species